rnacentral:rRNA from 1 species
AUUGAACGCUGGCGGCAUGCCUUACACAUGCAAGUCGAACGGUAACAGGUUAAGCUGACGAGUGGCGAACGGGUGAGUAAUAUAUCGGAACGUGCCCAGUCGUGGGGGAUAACUGCUCGAAAGAGCAGCUAAUACCGCAUACGACCUGAGGGUGAAAGCGGGGGAUCGCAAGACCUCGCGCGAUUGGAGCGGCCGAUACC